CCCCUUAUUCUUUCCUUUCCCCCUCUCUCUCUCUCAUCACUCUCUCUUCUCCCUAUCCCUCCAUCGCCCAAACCCUAGCGUCGCUAGUCGGAAAUCACCCCAUGGAGGUGGCGCACCACAAAACCACCCCAUUUGUACAUCGUUCUCUUCAUCUCUUCAUCCUCUAUACCUAAAUCUCCAAAAUCAAUCCCAAUCUCCGUAAAUAAAAAACUAACUAUAACCCUAGCUGCUAACCGACUGCCGCUUACCACCGUCAAAACCCCACAAAUCUUACAUCAUCCUCUUUAUCUCACCCAUCUCUUCAUGAAUUCAAGCCCUAUUUCCUUCAAAUCCCUCUCAAUCCCUCGAAUCUGGCGACCACCCCUACUGCAUUACCGCUACUAACCAAACCACCAUCCAAACACUGCACAUUUACCACCAAAAUCACCAUUAUUGAUCCUCUGCCCUUGGUCUAUCUCGUGAAUCGAAGCACGAUUUAUCGUUGGUGAUAUCAUAACUGACCACUGGAUUGCCAGAAUUGACAGCCACGAUUCACCAAUUAGAAAUAGUGCUUGAAGUUCACAUCCCUGUCGUUUUGAUAUUCCACCACUAUUUGGGUGCAUUCGAACUUAUGUAUACCUUAAUCCUUCCCCUUCGUUGUUCUUCUAUUUUGCUCUGCGCAUAUUUUAGGUGCUAGUUUAAUUUUAGUUUCUUUUAUUUUAUCUUUCUAGUUAGUAUGAUAUUGUUUUAUGAUUUCAUGCUUAGUUGGUAUUUUGUUGUAUCUUGUAUGAAUUGUCAAAGUGUGAUUUCUGAUGUUACUGCUCGUUUAAUGACGUGUUUAACUUGUUCAAACAACAUAAUCGAGCAAAAUUUUAUUAUUGUCAUUUUUCCCCUUUUUUACGAGCAAACGUUUAUCAUUGUCAUGUUUUCCCCCUUCUUAGUUCACCUUUGAUUAAUCGGUAAAUUAAUAACUUUGCUUACUCUAUAUUUGAUCAAUGAAUGAAUAAGUUGAUAUAGUUGGUAUUUGCCUUUUGUAAAUUGGCCAUUUAGUUUAGCUCGUUGACUGGUUAGGUUAAGUGUUUACAAUCGUGUUAGUCUCUUAUUAGUCCAAAUGUGAUUAGACCAUCUCCAAGGCUACUCCAUUUCUUGCACCAAAUCCAAAUUUGGUGCAAGAAAUGGUGUUUUUUUGCUCCAAUGCAACACUAAUUCUUGCACUAUUAUAGAGCAUGAAUAGUUUUGCACCAAAUUUAGUGCAACACUAUUCAUCGCUCUAAAUUUGGUUUAAUAUUAUUUUAUUCAAUCUUUUUAUUUUGUGGACUUUUAAUUUAUCAUAUAUUGUGUAUAUAAUUAAUUUAAUUUAUAUCCUAUUUUUUGAUAUAUUAAUUUUUGUAUAUAUUAUAUUUAUAUAAAAUUAUAAGUUAAUUUUAUUAUUAUUAUAAUUGUAUAAAAAGAAAUAUAACCAUUAUUUAAAUUUGACUAUGAUGUAAUAUUUAUUUAAUUAUCUUUUAUCAAUGAUUUCACUUUUAAUUAACUUAUCCUUUAAAAUAAUUUUAUAAUAAAUGAUUAUAUAAGUGGUGAAUGUGAAUUAUAUAUAAUGAAUAUGGAAAAAAGAAAAAAAGAUAGUAUUAGUUUGAAGGAAAUAAAAAAUGAAAAGUAAAUUAAAGAUAAUAAUAUAAUAUAAAAGAGAGAGAAGAUUUGGUAUAAAAAAUGGUGUAAUGGUUGGAGUAAAUUAGGUGUUACACUAUUUUGGCGUGAAAUUUGGUGCAAGAAAUGGUGCUAGCCUUGGAGAUGGCCUUAAAAUUUAGCCUUUUGUAGUUUAGUUACUGGUAUUGGUAAAAGCUGAAAGGUAGAUGGGUGUAAUCAUGAAUUAGAGUGCAUAAUAGGUUUGUUUUUUACUAGUACUAGUAGGGUGGCUAAAAGUACAUUUUCUUUCACUCUUCUGCUACAGUAGGUUGGAGACUGUCCUCUGCCUUUUUUGUUUGACAAGACCUUGAGUAGUGUUUUGGCACAUCAAGUCAGUCUUUUUGGACAGACUUUUGGUGAAACAAAAUCUAUCCAAAAAAUUGCUUUUUUUGCCUACUUAAGAGGUCCUCUUUUUCACGCUUUAACACACAUUUUCUACACAUCUUUCACACAUUAAAGACACAACCUUGAGAGUAAAAGAGAGCAACUGAACACCUUAUAGAAAGCUAGAAAAUUGUGAUCUUUGGUGAGUGAUUUUUUAGAGUGCAAAAACUUUGAGAAAAGUAGAAAAGCCCUUUAGAAAAUUUGUGAAGUUGUUAGCUACUAGUUUAAAGCAUCUCACUGAGAUUUUUAGGUUGUUCUAACAUUGAUUAGUUGCUGGUUCUGCUGCAAUUCUUGCUUAUUCUAAUGCUAUAUUUUUAUAAUUCUGUGACCCAAGUAACUCUUUAAAUUUGUAUUGCAGAUUCUUUCAUAGUAAUAAAGAUGUGAACUCGAUUUGGACUGAUAUGUUUUCUUUACAUUUGUAGCUGAGGUUGUAUUCCGCUAGUGUAUUUGGUUGAUGAUUUGAAGCUAUGAUAUUUCAUGUUUAGCCCGUUAAAGAUUGUUUAUUUAUUAAUAAGGCGUAGAUUCAAUACUUGCAAACUUAAGGUUCUUGCUUCUUGUAUGUGUAACGAUCCGGCCGGUCAUUUUAUGAGUUACCACUCAGAUUUUCCCAUUUCUGCUUCCUUGCGUGUUGUUCAGCUGUAUUUCAUCAUAUCGUGUUGGUGGCAUUGUGUUCGGAGUGGUCUUAGGGUGGAAUGACACACUUAGUCUCUUAAGUUGGUUAUUUAGUUGGUAAAGUCAACCGGAAGUUGACUUGUGAGUAAACGAUCUUGGAGUUGGGCUUUUAUGGUUCGGAUAGCUUCUUUAAGUGAUUUGGCACUUAGGAGCGUGAUCGGAAUGUAUUUUGGAGGUCCGUGGUAGAUUUAGGCUUGAAUUGACGAAAUUGAAAAUUUGGCAUUUUCUGGUCGGCACUGGAAAUCUUGAUAUCGGGGUCGGAUUGGAGUUUUGGAAAUUAGAGUAGGUCUGUUGUGUCAUUUGUGACGUGUGUGCAAAAUUUCAGGUAAUUCGGAAGAGGUUUGAUAGGUUUUUGCAUCGUUUGCGGAAUUCGGAAGUUUGGAAAUCCGUAGGCUUGAAUCCGAGGGUGAUUUGGUGGUUCGAUGUUGUUUUGAGUGUUCUGAAGGUUGGAAUGAGUUUGAAUAGUGGUAUGUGACUUGUUGGCAUGUUUGGUUGAGGUCCCGAGGGCCUCGGGAUGGAUUUGGGUGGUUGAUGGAGAGUUUGGAUUUGAGUUGGUAAUACUAAAUUUGUUGCUUCUGUCAUUUUUGCACCUACUGAUUCGGGACCGCAGGCGCGAGGUCGCAGAUGUGCUAUGGAGACUGCAGAUGCGAAAUCUGGGCAUCAGGUGAAGACCGCAGGUGCGGUGUGUUGGGUGCAUCUGUGGGACCACAGGUGCGAUGCCUGGGUGCAGAUGCGGCCCUGAGGACUUAAAUGAAAAACCGCAGAUGCGGUUAUUUUGACCGCAGAAGUGGUCGCAGAAGCGUGAAGGGAGCCGCAGGUGCGAGAUGCCUGGGCAGAAAGUAUAAAGGCCAUCUUCGCGAUUUUCAACUUAUUUCUCACCAUUUUUGGACGGCUUUGAAGCUUUUGAGGGCGAAUUUGGGAAGAGAUUCAAAGGUUAACAGCAAUGUGAGUAACUUGAGUCAUAAAACUUAUAUGUGUGAUGAUUUUUCAUUGUUUAAUCAUGGAAUUUAUGGACAAAUUAGGGAUAAAAUUAGGGAAUUAGGGCUUGAAAUUGAAGAGUUUAAAAUGGGCAUUUUAGGGGUCGUUUGAGGUUCAAUUUUGGUGAUUUUGUUGUGUAUAGACUCGUGAGGCGAUAAGGAUUCUAGUGUUGUGAUUUUUAUUGGAUUCCGAGAUGGGGCUCGGGGGUCGGGUUUGGCCAAUUUUGGGAUUUUUGAGUUAAUUUGAUUAUUUUCGUUUGGGCUUUGUUCAUUUAGCAUGUAUUAAUGAUGUGAUACUGAUUUUGGUUAGAUUUGGAGUAUUUGGAGGCUGAGUCGAGAGGUAAAGGUAUCGCGGGUUAGAAUUUAGCCCGGUUUGAGGUAAGUAAAGAUUGUAAAUAUUGUCCUGAGGGUAUGAAACUCCGGAUUUCACAUCGUUGUACUAUUUUGAGAUGACGCACACGCUUGAUGACGAGUGUGAGAGGUGUGCACCGUUAGGGAUUAUGACUUGGUCCAUCCUGUAGCAACUAUUAAGUUGCGUAUUUGACUGAAACUACUUGAUAUUAUCUUAUGUUAGAAAAUAUUACUAUGUUUUGGGCGGAAUGCCAUAUUUGAGUUUCGUGCCAACUGUUUGGACCCCUAGGGAAUUUCUUUACUGAAAUUCCUCAUUGUUUUGAUUUAAUAACUAUACUCAGUCAUGCUAUGUUUACUGAUUUUAUAACUCAGUCUUAUUUAUUCCUAUUUGAUGCAUAAAUGAUAUUUUGGGCAGAGCACCCUGUUUUAUUGUUAGCCCGAGUGACUUGAGAGGUUUCUGACUGAGUAAGGCCGAGGGCCUGUGUUGUGAGGAUAUCAUGGGAUCGGGCUGCGUGCCACAGCAUGUUGUACAAUUUUGUGAUAUAUGAGAGGCCGAGGGCCUGAUUUAUUAUGCCACGCGAUGGCUUAUGAUAGCGCUUGGGUUGUAGAAGCCCUUCCGGAGUCUGUACACCCUCAGUGAGCGCGGGUACCUAGUGUAAGUGAUGUGAUAUUGCCCGAGGGGCUGUUCUUGAUUUAUGUUGUUGCCCGAGGGGCUGGUUCUGACUGAUGUUAUACCCGAGGGACGGUUAAUGGUACAUGUCUUGCCCAAGGGACUGUUUAUAUUUUUAUCUUUUCUUACUCACUGUUUCAUCACUUGUUUGAAAAUUAUUGAAAGAUAUUUUUAAAAGGUUUUACUGAAAUUGAGUUUUUAUGGGAUAAUUGAUUUUUGUACUGUUUUGGAAACAUAUUGUUUUGCUAUAGUGCUAUGAUGUGGAAUUAUCUAUUUUCUUACUGCUCAGCUUUCAUUUACUUUUAUUACUUACUGAGUUGGCGUACUCACAUUACUCCCUGCACCUUGUGUGCAGAUCCAGGAGUUGCGGGUCGUGAUAGCGAGCGUUGAUCAUUCAUUCAGCAGGUCUUUCGGAGUCGGUAAGGUAGCUGUACGACGUUCGUAGCAUUGCACUUCUCCUUCUUAUUUUUCCUCAGAUUUUAUCUAGUAUCCUUAUUUCCGGACUAUGAUAGUCUUUAUUGUACUUAGACAGACCUUGUAGAUGCUCGUGACUAGUGACACCCUGAUGUCGGGAUUGUGUUUUCUUUACGCACUGGUUAUUUAGACCCAUGUUAUGAAAUAUUAUCAAUUAAUAGCAUAAAAAUGUCUUUUAUGAAAUACUAGUUUGGAUUUGGGUUUUUGGAUUUGUGUCGGCUGGCCUAGUUUCACGAUAGGCGCCAUCACGACCGGGUCGAUUUUAGGGUCGUGACAAGUUGGUAUCAGAGACUAGGUUACAUAGGUCUCACGAGUCAUGAGCGGGUUUAGUAUAGUCUCGCGGAUCGGUAUGGAGACGUCUGUACUUAUCUUCGAGAGCUUGUAGAACCUUUAGGAAAACUUCAUAUUCUUGAAUUCCUGUCGUGCGAAUCUGUUGAUUCUAGUAACUCAACUUUUGUUAUUCUAUUCUCUCACAGAUGGUGAGGACAUGUGCUACCGGUCAGGACGGACGACCGCCAGUACCACCAGUUGGGGACACUAGAGGCCGAGGACGCGGUCGAGGCCGUGGUAGGGGCAGGGGUGUAUCUCGCACAGCAACUAGGGUAACAGUUGCAGAUCCACCAGCCGUCCUAAUUCAUGAUCAGGUCUCAGUUGCAGACACUCCAGCAGGACCAGCUUAGGCACCGGCUGUGCCUAUUAUUAUUACAGGCCUUCAAGAGGCCCUAGCCCAUAUUCUAUCAGUGUGCACUGGCUUGGCUUAGGCGGUCUCAGUUACUACGACUGGAGCUACUUCUCAGGCCGGGGGAGGCACUUAGACUCCCGUUGCUCGCACACCUGAGCAGGUCGUGUAGGGACUUUAGACACCAGGGGCACCUCCAGCCCAGCCGGUUGCAGCUGCUCAAGACUAUGUAGCUCUUGUUAUGCCAGAGGAUGAGCAGCGCAGAUUGGAGAGGUUUGGUAGACUUCAGCCUCCGUCAUUUAGUGGUGCUGAGGGUGAGGAGGCACAAGGUUUGUUAGAUAAGUAUCAAAGGAUGCUUCGGAC
rnacentral:lncRNA from 1 species